GGCCAUGAAAACAUUGUUCGUGUG
rnacentral:siRNA from 1 species